AUUGAACGCUGGCGGCAGGCCUAACACAUGCAAGUCGAGCGGAUGAAGGGAGCUUGCUCCUGGAUUCAGCGGCGGACGGGUGAGUAAUGCCUAGGAAUCUGCCUGGUAGUGGGGGAUAACGUCCGGAAACGGGCGCUAAUAACGCAUACGUCCUGAGGGAGAAAGUGGGGGAUCUUCGGACGCCACGCUAUCAGAUGAGCCUAGGUCGGAUUAGCUGGUUGGUGGGGUAAAGGCCUACCAAGGCGACGAUCCGUAACUGGUCUGAGAGGAUGAUCAGUCACAUGGGAACUGAGACACGGUCCAGACUACUACGGGAGGCAGCAGUGGGGAAUAUUGGACAAAGGGCGAAAGCCUGAUACAGCCAUGCCGCGUGUGUGAAGAAGGUCUUCCGAUUGUAAAGCACUUUAAGUUGGUAGGAAGGGCAGUAAGUUAAUACCUUGCUGUUGUGACGUUACCAACAGAAGAAGCACCGGCUAACUUCGUG
rnacentral:rRNA from 1 species